GCCUUUAUAGCUCAGCUGGGAGAGCGUUAGACUGAAGAUCUAAAUGUCCCGCGUUCAAUCCGCGGUGAAGGCA
rfam:Batrachochytrium dendrobatidis JAM81 unplaced genomic scaffold BATDEscaffold_9, whole genome shotgun sequence.